rnacentral:rRNA from 1 species
UCAGACGAUGCGUCAUGCAUAUCAAUAAGCGGAGGAAAAGAAACUAACAAGGAUUCCCCUAGUAACGGCGAGUGAAGCGGGAAGAGCUCAAAUUUGAAAUCUUAAAGGGUUUCCCUUUACGAAUUGUAGUUUAAAGAAGUGUUUUCUGUUGAGGUUUUGGUAAAAGUUCUUUGGAAUAGGACAUCAUAGAGGGUGAGAAUCCCGUAUUUGACCUUUACUUUCAACUUUGUGAUACACUUUCAAAGAGUCGGAUUGUUUGGGAAUGCAGUCCAAAAUGGGUGGUAAAUUUCAUCUAAAGCUAAAUAUUGGCGAGAGACCGAUAGCGAACAAGUACCGUGAGGGAAAGAUGAAAAGAACUUUGAAAAGAGAGUUAAAUAGUACGUGAAAUUGUCAAAAGGGAAGCGUUUAACACCAGUGUUGUUUUCUGAAAAUCAACCUCUGUUAGCUUUAUGCAUGUUUGUUUAGACCUAAUCAGCUAUCUUUCAUGUUCUAUUGUUUGCAGUGGUGCACUUUUCAGUUUACAGGUCAACAUCAGUUUUUUUUUACCGUAAAAAAGUUAAAGAAAGGUAGCUCAUGGCUCCGGUCGUGAGUGUUAUAGUCUUUUUCCUAUGCGGUAGGAGAGACUGAGGUCUGCAGUGUAGGCUAUUUGGCUAGAUACUCAGGUGCUAUGUGAUACCAUUUCAUAAACAACUUGUUGAUUAUGUUUUGUCUAUUGCAUACUCGCUUGUACUAUCAUACCUACGCUUAGGAUGUUGACUGAUAUGUAGUCGU